rnacentral:misc_RNA from 1 species
GACAGCACGAAAGCGUGGUUCUUCUUGCUUCUUGGUAUAUCCAAGCUUUCCAGUCUUCUCAUUCAAGACAAACCAUCGCCUGCUCCACCCAUUAGUUUUUGCACUUUUCUUUAACAAGAAACCAGCUGUUAUCUCUCCCUCAGGACCUGCUGUCUUCAAACCCGAACUUUCCUUCUCUUCCUUCUCUUCCUUACUAGGUUUUUCUUUCAUUGAUUUCAAGCUUCCACCAGCUUGCUGACUAUUUGUUUGAGGACUACUUGCCCUGUUUAACACCGCUUGUUCAGCCUCUUGUCCUUUUUUUGAUGAUCUAGUCUUCACUUCCUCUUCCCGGCGCUGUCUUUCCAUCCUUCUUUGUACGAGACGUAUAAAGUGCUGUGGUGGGACAAAUGCUCUCUCCAUGUCAACUAACGCCACGACCAUCUUUUUU